rnacentral:rRNA from 1 species
UACGUAGGGGGCGAGCGUUGUCCGGAGUUACUGGGCGUAAAGCGCACGCAGGCGGUCUGCUAAGUUUGGAGUGACAGUUGGUGGCUUAACUGCCAAAGUGCUUCGAAAACUGACAGACUUGAGGGCUGCAGAGGGACACGGAAUUCCGGGUGGAGUGGUGAAAUGCGUAGAGAUCCGGAGGAACACCAAAGGCGAAGGCAGUGUCCUGGGGAGUACCUGACGCUCAGGUGCGAAAGCCAGGGGAGCGAACGGG